AUGCAGAUUGUCUAAAAAUCUUGGUAAAAUGCAGAUUCUGAUUGAACUUAUCUGGGAUGAGCAUCAGGGUUCUGCAUUUCUAACAAACUCCCAGGUAGUACCAAA
rnacentral:pre_miRNA from 1 species